UACGGAGGGUGCGAGCGUUGUCCGGAAUCACUGGGCGUAAAGGGCGCGUAGGCGGCGCGAGUAGUCAUCGGUGAAAGUUCAGGGCUCAACUCUGAAUCGGCCGGUGAUACUCCCGUGCUCGAGCACUGUAGAGGCAGGUGGAAUUCCGGGUGUAGCGGUGGAAUGCGUAGAGAUCCGGAAGAACACCGGUGGCGAAGGCGGCCUGCUGGGCAGUAGCUGACGCUGAUGCGCGACAGCGUGGGGAGCAAACAGG
rnacentral:rRNA from 1 species